ACAGGAGAAAUCAUUGAGCUCCUCCCAUCUUUGCCAGAAGCUUCAGUGUUUAAGCAGCCAGAGCCAAGAGGCUUCAGCACCAGGGGGGUGCACUGGAGGGCUCCUGGUCCUGCCCACGCUGUGGGGGAGCCAGGGCUGGCACAAGGACUCGUGCAGGUGCUGCUCUGGCACUGGAGCUGUUGCCCUGUGGAGCCAUUUUAAAGGUGUGAUUAUGGAACAUUUUGGAGGCCGUUUCUGGAAUUCCAUUUGUAGCUGGAUCUCGCUCCGAGUGCAGCAGUCCAGAGUUUUUGAUUUAGAAUUUGAAGAGUAUUUGGUGUUGGAGGAAAUAAAGUUUUUGGAUAUGGUUGAGUUGUAUUUUUAAUGUUAGUAAGGACUACUUUUGGCACAUUAUUUUGAUGUUUUGUUUGGUUAUGGGGAGGGUCUCCUGUUAGAUGUGUUAAGUGUGAGAUAGGCAUUAGGACUCUGUCUAAUGGUUUAUGAGCCUGUUAGGGAGGAGGUGUUAUUUUAAGUCUUAUAAAAUACACUGAGAAUUAGUUAAAAUCAUGGAAGAAACAUUAUGGUAAUUAAAGGGUGUUAUGUUAAAGAGCUAUAAAUCUUUUUUAAUAACUGCUUGACAUAAGGUGAGCUUAAUCUACUUCUUCUGCCCUAGAAACCAUCACACACGUCCGCAUCAAUGGCACGACCUCUGCCCACUGCUCCUGUUUCACCCAACCAAAAUCAAGAGCAAAAGUUGGUUGGGCUUUAA